GACGAACGCUGGCGGCGUGCUUAACACAUGCAGGUCGAACGGAAAGGCCCUGCUUUUGUGGGGUGCUCGAGUGGCGAACGGGUGAGUAACACGUGAGUAACCUGCCCUUGACUUUGGGAUAACUUCAGGAAACUGGGGCUAAUACCGGAUAGGAGCUCCUGCUGCAUGGUGGGGGUUGGAAAGUUUCGGCGGUUGGGGAUGGACUCGCGGCUUAUCAGCUUGUUGGUGGGGUAGUGGCUUACCAAGGCUUUGACGGGUAGCCGGCCUGAGAGGGUGACCGGCCACAUUGGGACUGAGAUACGGCCCAGACUCCUACGGGAGGCAGCAGUGGGGAAUAUUGCACAAUGGGCGGAAGCCUGAUGCAGCAACGCCGCGUGCGGGAUGACGGCCUUCGGGUUGUAAACCGCUUUCGCCUGUGACGAAGCGUGAGUAACGGUAAUGGGUAAAGAAGCACCGGCUAACUACGUG
rnacentral:rRNA from 1 species